UUUGAUCAUGGCUCAGAUUGAACGCUGGCGGCAGGCCUAACACAUGCAAGUCGAGCGGUAGCACAGGAGAGCUUGCUCUCUGGGUGACGAGCGGCGGACGGGUGAGUAAUGUCUGGGAAACUGCCUGAUGGAGGGGGAUAACUACUGGAAACGGUAGCUAAUACCGCAUAACGUCUUCGGACCAAAGUGGGGGACCUUCGGGCCUCACGCCAUCAGAUGUGCCCAGAUGGGAUUAGCUAGUAGGUGGGGUAAUGGCUCACCUAGGCGACGAUCCCUAGCUGGUCUGAGAGGAUGACCAGCCACACUGGAACUGAGACACGGUCCAGACUCCUACGGGAGGCAGCAGUGGGGAAUAUUGCACAAUGGGCGCAAGCCUGAUGCAGCCAUGCCGCGUGUGUGAAGAAGGCCUUCGGGUUGUAAAGCACUUUCAGCGAGGAGGAAGGGCAGUGUGUUAAUAGCACAUUGCAUUGACGUUACUCGCAGAAGAAGCACCGGCUAACUCCGUGCCAGCAGCCGCGGUAAUACGGAGGGUGCAAGCGUUGAUCGGAAUUACUGGGCGUAAAGCGCACGCAGGCGGUUUGUUAAGUCAGAUGUGAAAUCCCCGCGCUUAACGUGGGAACUGCAUUUGAAACUGGCAAGCUAGAGUCUUGUAGAGGGGGGUAGAAUUCCAGGUGUAGCGGUGAAAUGCGUAGAGAUCUGGAGGAAUACCGGUGGCGAAGGCGGCCCCCUGGACAAAGACUGACGCUCAGGUGCGAAAGCGUGGGGAGCAAACAGGAUUAGAUACCCUGGUAGU
rnacentral:rRNA from 1 species